GCUUAUUUUUUCCAAGCACACAAAAGAUGAAGAAGGAGAAGACUCUUUCUCCCUUUCUCUCAUCUGCACAACCAGCCAAGACCCUGCCUAUCGCUCUCUAUCUCUCUUUCUCGAUCCCUCAAUAUUUCUCUCAUUCUCUCACUCUGGCGCCGCUCUCUCCCUCCGUCCUCUCCACGUACUCUCCCCUCACUGUGUAGCGGCAAUGGUUGGGCUUGGCAAGGGCUAGUGAUCAGGCUCUCUUCGCCGCAAGGUGCAGCAGUAAGUUUUCACUCCUUUUUCUUUCUUUUCAUUUCUACUUUCUGAUUUCGUUGGGGACGUCGGAGGUCGGGUUGUUUGCAGGUGUUUUGCAUGGCGAGGGCUGAAGGUGAGUGAUGAUUUCGGCUGAAACUUAUCUUAUGUCCUAGUCUAUAUUGGAUUUAUGCUGAUUGAGACCAAUUAUCUAACCUAAAAUCCACAUGCAAGUGAAUUUUGUCAAUCUCUGACCUAGAAAUUCUUAGAAUUAAUUUCUAAAUAGAUUUUGUGGUUUGUAUCUUGCUUAGUUCUAGUUUAUUUCUUCUAAACAACUGUGAGAAGAUUCAUUCGAUAUCAAUUGAAUAUUUUGCAGUCUUUUAUUUCAAAUCUACUCAAGGCGUUUGAAAAAAAUCCUAAUAGAAUUAAACAAAAAUAAUAACAUGAAUUUACACACACGAAAGAUAUUUGAACAUUCAUUGUACGUUUGAAAGGUUGUACCUCUGAGGUAUCGUGAUAUUGAAGUGGCUGGACUUACCAAUAUAGCCAUGUUUAUACCACUAUUACCACCAGAGCUGCCUUGCAUAUAGUGUUUACCAUGAAAAUCAAUUAACUGCAUGUCUCUGCUUAGCUCUCAUUCAUGUGCAAUCUUGUUGAUUGAGCUCUUCUUCAUUUUUUUUUUAAUUUAUUUGUUUUUCUUCAUACUUGUUUUAUGUGUCUUCAUCUACCGUGGUUUGGAUACUUGUACAAAUUUAUUGGAUAUGUUCUUUAGUAAAAUUGAUUUUUUUUAAUUCGUUCUUUGUUUGGUUCGUAAAUAAGGUUUGAAAGUUGAGAAUUGUGCAGUUCUCAAUAUCAAUCUCUUCGUUGUGCUGCUAUCUUCAUUAUUAUUGAGAUUUUAAGUUUUGUUUUAUUUUCCUUGGAAUCUUUAUAUGACUAGGCAAUUGGAUCUUACAUAUUAUGUGAGAGUAGCUUUAUAAAGAAAUUAUCAUGUUGGUGCUUGGUGUCCAUUCUUAGUUGUUUGAUGUUAUGAACCUAUGCGACAAUAUUAACUGAUUUAUUUUUUUAUAUCUCUCUUUAAAACUUAAAAUAUUAUCUAAUAAUAAUAGCAAAUAUUCACUUCUGCAUA